UCGCAUUUUUCUUUUAAUAUUCCAGAUAAACAAUUUGUUGAUGACGGCGUCAUUCAAACAGCUCUUACACUCUGCAAAAAAAGGUGGAGGGUUGUUGGGGGGUUCUCGCUUUAGAUUACAAAUUACAUAAUUAUAGAUAAACCACUACGGCAAUAGAUCAGUUGAACUCUAUUGAAUGUUGCAUACUUGAAUUGCUUCUAUUCGAAACAUUCGAUGAGGAUGUCUGUUUGGUGCAUAUCUCCACGGUCUGUACCUCUCCGACCGACCAAUUGAAUUAAGUGAUUGGUUUUCGUAUUUAAUCUAUGACAGACAGAGAACAAGGACGGAGGACGAUUGCUAAACGGUCAGACUUUCCCUUCGAAGAUGUUUCCAAUUUCUCUCUUCAAAAUACAGGUAAAACUUUAAUAUUCAACAAUCUGGAAGCCAAGACUGCCCAUUUGAAGCGUUCUUCUCAAAGAUUAUAUGAAAGUUAAGAAGUUCCCACAUUUUCCAAUAAGUCAAAAUUCAGUGUGAUUACUACAGUUCUAAACUGCUGCUCCAUGCUUUUUGAUUUCUAUCAAUAUCACUUCUAAUUUAAUAUGUAAUAAAAAAAUAAAUAAAAAAUAAUUUAAAAUUUUAUUCAAUUCA